AACUAGUCAUUUCCCAUUCCUAUGAAAUCAGCUGCUUUGUGAAGUUGUUGAAGAAAUUUUGAGACAAACAUCUGGCCCAAUUUGUUAUUCUUCAGGUUGGGGAAAUGUUAUCUUUCAGUCUUUUAGCAGCUGAGGGCAUGAAAGCUCCAUUUACAAAGACCAUGGGUGAAAUGCUGAGACAUGAAUAACCUAAUGAUAUCCUCCAACCACCAUCUUGAG